GCAGUGGUGGUUUAGUGGUAGAAUUCUCAUCUUCCAUGUGGGAGACCCAGGUUCAAUUCCCAGCCAAUACA
rfam:Loxodonta africana unplaced genomic scaffold scaffold_60, whole genome shotgun sequence.